ACAAGACAAUCUUCACUGUCUUCACUGGUCCAGUCUCUUGUUACCCCAAAUGCAGAUGGAGAUUAUAGAAGAGGAUGGUGUCUUUUCUCCAACAUCUAUUGAAGAUCUAGACAGGCUUGAAUGAAAGUUAACAGCCAUAGGAUUUAUAUAAAGAAUGGUGAGCAGCUACACAUAAAAGGAGAACAUGGAGAAUCUGCUCAGAGGUGUUCACCUGCAACGCAGCUGCUACAGAACUAUUGAUGCAGGAGGAAACACAAGCGAGAUGGUUUCUUGACAUCAACUUAGAACGUGGAUCAAAGAUGAAGACAGGGAAAAUGACUUCAAAGAAAACUGGCCAAGUUGUGCAGAAAAACACUACUGUGAACCCACAGGUUUCCUCUCUUCUUCUUAAAAAACUUACAGACUUUGAAUGGAAUUUUGUUUAGACACUUGCACCAUAUACUGUAAUUUGAUUAAAUGGAAAUAAAGUUUCAUGCAUUGUUAAUGAUGUGCUAUUAACUGUUAAUUGCAAUACAAAAGUACUGCUGGCAUUUUAUCCAACAUACUUCUGUUAAUGUAUUUUUCCCUCCUGACUUUCCUUUUUCUUUUUUUGCAUAAUUUUAAAAUAUUUAAAAACCUUUCCAUUCUUUGAAAGGUAUAAGAGCACUUGAUUGUUUAUAUUCUGAUAUACUGUUCUGUUAACUGUCAAGUGCAUUUAUUUAAUACAGCUGACAUUUCAGCCAACAUGUUUAU